UCGGGAAUUUUGUGCAAUGGGCGAAAGCCUGACACAGCAACGCCGCGUGAAGGAUGAAGUCCCUCGGGAUGUAAACUUCGUAAGAAUAGGAAGAAUAAAUGACGGUACUAUUUGUAAGGUCCGGCUAACUACGUGCCAGCAGCCGCGGUAAUACGUAGGGACCAAGCGUUGUUCGGAUUUACUGGGCGUAAAGGGUGCGUAGGCGGCAUAUCAAGUCACUUGUGAAAUCUCCGGGCUUAACUCGGAACUGCCAAGUGAUACUGAUGUGCUAGAGUGCAGAAAGGGCAACUGGAAUUCUUGGUGUAGCGGUGAAAUGCGUAGAUAUCAAGAGGAACACCUGAGGCGAAGGCGAGUUGCUAGGCUGACACUGACGCUGAGGUACGAAAGCUAGGGGAGCGAACGGGAUUAGAUACCCAAGUAGUCCCUGAGCGGGCUGGCAAGGCGCAU
rnacentral:rRNA from 1 species